rnacentral:rRNA from 1 species
ACAGAGGACCCAAGCGUUAUUCGGAUUCAUUGGGCUUAAAGGGUGCGUAGGCGGUCUGGUAAGUCUGACGUGAAAUCCUGGAGCUUAACUCCGGAACUGCGUCGGAAACUAUUCGGCUAGAGUGUUGAAAGGGUAACUGGAAUUCGUUGUGUAGCAGUGAAAUGCGUAGAUAUCACGCAGAACACCUAUGGCGAAGGCAAGUUCCUGGUUUAUAAUAGACGCUGAGGCACGAAAGCUAGGGGAUCAAACAG